GGGCCCGCACAAGCGGUGGAGCAUGUGGUUUAAUUCGAUGCAACGCGAAGAACCUUACCAGGUCUUGACAUCUGUAGAAUCUCUAUGAAAGUAGGGAGUGCCUUCGGGAGCUACAAGACAGGUGGUGCAUGGUUGUCGUCAGCUCGUGUCGUGAGAUGUUGGGUUAAGUCCCGCAACGAGCGCAACCCUUGCUAUUAGUUGCUAACAUUUAAGAUGAGCACUCUAAUGGGACUGCCCGUGACAAGCGGGAGGAAGGUGGGGAUGACGUCAAAUCAUCAUGCCCUUUAUGAUCUGGGCUACACACGUGCUACAAUGGAUGGUACAAAGAGAAGCGAGACCGCGAGGUGGAGCGAAUCUCAAAAAGCCAUUCUCAGUUCGGAUUGUAGUCUGCAACUCGACUACAUGAAGUCGGAAUCGCUAGUAAUUGCGAAUCAGCAUGUCGCAGUGAAUGCGUUCCCGGGCCUU
rnacentral:rRNA from 1 species